GGGUUGUGAGGUUAAGCGACUAAGCGUACACGGUGGAUGCCCUGGCAGUCAGAGGCGAUGAAGGGCGUGCUAAUCUGCGAUAAGCGCCGGUAAGGUGAUAUGAACCGUUAUAACCGGCGAUACCCGAAUGGGGAAACCCAGUGUGAUUCGUCACACUAUCAUUAACUGAAUCCAUAGGUUAAUGAGGCGAACCGGGGGAACUGAAACAUCUAAGUACCCCGAGGAAAAGAAAUCAACCGAGAUUCCCCCAGUAGCGGCGAGCGAACGGGGAGGAGCCCAGAGCCUGAAUCAGCAUGUGUGUUAGUGGAAGCGUCUGGAAAGGUGCGCGAUACAGGGUGACAGCCCCGUACACAAAAGCGCAUGUGCUGUGAGCUCGAUGAGUAGGGCGGGACACGUGAUAUCCUGUCUGAAUAUGGGGGGACCAUCCUCCAAGGCUAAAUACUCCUGACUGACCGAUAGUGAACCAGUACCGUGAGGGAAAGGCGAAAAGAACCCCGGCGAGGGGAGUGAAAAAGAACCUGAAACCGUGUACGUACAAGCAGUGGGAGCACAGGUUUACCUGUGUGACUGCGUACCUUUUGUAUAAUGGGUCAGCGACUUAUAUUCUGUAGCAAGGUUAACCGUAUAGGGGAGCCGUAGGGAAACCGAGUCUUAACCGGGCGUUAAGUUGCAGGGUAUAGACCCGAAACCCGGUGAUCUAGCCAUGGGCAGGUUGAAGGUUGGGUAACACUAACUGGAGGACCGAACCGACUAAUGUUGAAAAAUUAGCGGAUGACCUGUGGCUGGGGGUGAAAGGCCAAUCAAACCGGGAGAUAGCUGGUUCUCCCCGAAAGCUAUUUAGGUAGCGCCUCGUGAAUUCAUCUCCGGGGGUAGAGCACUGUUUCGGCUAGGGGGCCAUCCCGGCUUACCAACCCGAUGCAAACUGCGAAUACCGGAGAAUGUUAUCACGGGAGACACACGGCGGGUGCUAACGUCCGUCGUGAAGAGGGAAACAACCCAGACCGCCAGCUAAGGUCCCAAAGUCAUGGUUAAGUGGGAAACGAUGUGGGAAGGCCCAGACAGCCAGGAUGUUGGCUUAGAAGCAGCCAUCAUUUAAAGAAAGCGUAAUAGCUCACUGGUCGAGUCGGCCUGCGCGGAAGAUGUAACGGGGCUAAACCAUGCACCGAAGCUGCGGCAGCGAACGUAUCACCCAAGACAACUUUACGGAGUUGACGAUUGACGGAGCGAAGCGACGUCAAAGCGUUCAUUAAAGUCGAGUUGGCUUAGGGAUACGUUCGUUGGGUAGGGGAGCGUUCUGUAAGCCUGUGAAGGUGUGUCGUGAGGC
rnacentral:rRNA from 1 species